rnacentral:sRNA from 1 species
CUGAGCUCUACGAGGCGGAGCGGCGGCGGUGGCGACGGCGAUGGGACCCCAGCGAGAGAUCUGCAGCUAGGCUGGCUGCACUUGCUCCACGGGUCAGGGGAUCGGAGGGGGAUUGAAGAAUGAGCCAUUAAAAGGAAAGAUCAAGGAGUAAACCAGAAGAAGAAGAAAAAGAGGACUUCAAAGCACUGGCCCUGUGGAAAAGUGGCUAUAAUGGGAACCUCAGUCUCAUUAUCUCAGAAUCAUUUUAUGGGAGAGAAAAGCAGCAUGAAAAAUUGAAUGAUAUUUCAAAGAAAAUAAAUAGAACAGGGCCUGCGCCUGGCCGCACAACUGACUCACACAUAGUGUCACAGGAAAACACUCAUAUUUGUUGCCUCUCUUCUCUCAAGGAGACCAUGAAGACAAAGAAUAUAAUGUCUGUAAUGUUCUUAGAGUUUCAUGAGGCAUAAAAAUUUAUUUCUGCUUCAAGGCUAUGAACAUUUAUAAAGGAAAAUAAAAAGUAACUGCAUAUAUUAGACAGAAAUUUAAAUUUCCAACACAUUGAUACUACAGUCUAUUGGCACACAUAGUGAUAUCACAAUAGCACAUGCAUGAGCUUGUUUCCCUAAUACAGGAAUAAUUCAAGGAAUUCUCAGCAUUUGUACUCCCUUUACCUCUUGAUGAUGCCCAUUUUGUUAUGUUUAUUGCUUCAGGAGUGUGUGUCCUUGUAACCCAAGAGUCCACUGAGGGCAGACCUGGCUCCACUCAUCUUCAUAACUAUUAUUUAUCUCACAGGUGCCUGG